rnacentral:lncRNA from 1 species
UUAUAAAUUUGUUCCUUAAAGUGUAUUUUUGAUAAGAAAGCCCUUUUGUUUUUCCUUCUGUUAAUUUUUUGUUUUUUUCUUGGUAGAGACAGAGUCUUGCCAUGCUGCCCAGGCUGGAGUGCAGUGAUGUGAUCUCGGCUCACUGCAGCCUCCACCUCCCGGGCUCCAGCAGUCCUCCCACCUCAACCUCCCUAAGAGCUGAGACUACAGGUGUGAGCCACCAUGCCUGGCUAAUUUUUAGAGACAGGGUUUCACCAUCUUGCCCAGGCUGGUCCCAAACUCUUGGGCUCAAGCAGUCCUCCUGCCUCAGCCUGCCAGAGUAUUGGGAUUAUAGGUGUGAGCCACUGCCAGAAAAACGUUUCCUAAGACAAGGCAGGUCUUACAUUAUAUUUAAAUUUUUUUUAAUGAUGUCUUUUUUGGCAGUGCACAGCCAGAGAACAACACAUCACACACAAGAAACAGUUGUGCUCAUGUGAUGGGGGCCUCAGCACUAGGAAGGAGUGGACUGUUGGCGCACGCAGCAGCUUGAAUAAAUCUGAAAGUCACUACGCUGCGUAAGAGAAGCCAAAUAAAGCGCAUGCUGUGUACAGAGGGUGUCGAGAAUGUGUCCUACGUGACGGAAAGCAGAUCCGUGGUUCCCUGCAGACUGGCAGGAGCAGAUUCCAAAGGCACAGGAAGAAGCUUGCAGCUUGCCUGUUCACUCUGGCUGGUCAUAUGCAGAAAACCGAAACUAGACCCCUUUCUGACACCUUAUAUAAAAAUUAACUCAAGAUGCAUUAAAGAUUUAAACGUGAGACCUAAAACCAGA